rnacentral:rRNA from 1 species
UACGGGGGGGGCAAGCGUUGUUCGGAAUUACUGGGCGUAAAGGGCUCGUAGGUGGCCAACUAAGUCAGACGUGAAAUCCCUCGGCUUAACCGGGGAACUGCGUCUGAUACUGGAUGGCUUGAGUUUGGGAGAGGGACGCGGAAUUCCAGGUGUAGCGGUGAAAUGCGUAGAUAUCUGGAGGAACACCGGUGGCGAAGGCGGCAUCCUGGACCAAUACUGACGCUGAGGAGCGAAAGCCAGGGGAGCAAACGGG